rnacentral:rRNA from 1 species
UAAGAUUUUAUUUAUUAAUUUUAUUAGUUAAUUAAUUUAAUUUAUUAAAAAUAAUUAUAAAAUGAAGUGUUUUAGUAUUGUAUAAAGAAUAAAUAAUUUUUAUAAUAGUUUAUUAUGUAAUGUAAAUGAAUAUUGAAAUAUUAUUGAAAAAUUAUUUUUAUAAAAGAAAAUUUGAUUUAUUGUACCUUUUGUAUCAGGGUUUAUCAAAUAAAAAAUAUUUACUAUAUUUUUCUCGAUUUAAAAAGAGCUAAUAAAUUAUUAAAGUUAUUGUGUUAAAAUUAUUUUCAAUAGUUUAUUAGAAGUGAAAUGUUAUUCGGUUUUUAAGGUAUCUAGUUUUUUAAGAAAUAAAUUUAAUUUAUAUUUUGUAGAAGUUAUUUGUUUAAUUUUUUAAUCAAAUAAUUUAUAAAAUAAAUAUUUUAUGGGAUAAGCUGUAAAAUAUAAUUUUAAAAAUAAUAAAUAAAGCGUAUAAAAUAUAUGCUUAAAAAUUGCAAUUAUUGAAAAGUAUGUUAUAAUUUAUUUUAUAAUAAAAUUAUUUAUUAAUAUUUUAAAUUUUUUAUUAAAAUUUUUAUUUUAAUUAUAAAAAUAAAGUAAUAAUGAUAGAAUUAGUAUAUAAUUAAUGUAAAAAUAUAAUUAAGUGAUAAGUUUAAAUAAAGAAUUCGGCAAAAAUUAAUAUUCGCUUGUUUAACAAAAACAUGUCUUUUAGAAUUGAAUUUAAAGUCUGACCUGCCCACUGAUAAUUAUUAAAUGGCCGCAGUAUCCUAACUGUGCAAAGGUAGCAUAAUCAUUAGUCUUUUAAUUGAAGGCUUGUAUGAAUGGUUGGACGAAAUAUUAACUGUUUCAUUUAAAAUUUUUAUAGAAUUUUAUUUUUUAGUCAAAAAGCUAAAAUUUUAUUAAAAGACGAGAAGACCCUAUAAAUCUUAAUACUUAUAUUAUUUUAAUUAUAAAGAUUUAUUAAAUUAUAAUUUUUAUGGGUAUUUUAUUGGGGUGAUAUUAAAAUUUAAUAAACUUUUAAUUUUUAAAUAACAUUAAUUUAUGAAUAAUUGAUCCAUUAAUAAUGAUUAAAAAUUUAAGUUACUUUAGGGAUAACAGCGUAAUUUUUUUGGAGAGUUCAUAUUGAUAAAAAAGAUUGCGACCUCGAUGUUGGAUUAAGAGAUAUUUUUGGGUGCAGCAGCUCAAAGGUUAAGUCUGUUCGACUUUUAAAUUCUUACAUGAUCUGAGUUCAAACCGGCGUAAGCCAGGUUGGUUUCUAUCUUUAAUUAAUUAAAAUAUUUUAGUACGAAAGGACCAAAUAUUAAAAAAAUAAUUUUUUUAUAAUUAGAAUAUAAUUAAAUUUUA